rnacentral:lncRNA from 1 species
UCUACCUCUUACCAGUCUUCUUCAAGUACCAGGAUGAUGAACGUGGGUACGAUCAGAAGGUGGGUAUGACCAUACAUUCAAGAAUUGAAUUUUUUUAGGUUAAACAAGAAAUGAUGAAAUUUAUGGUUUUAUUGUGUUUUUUAUUUCACUGUACUUUUGUUAUGCUUCUUCGAGGCUCUAAACUAUGUACAAAAGCUUAGAGCUUUAACCUUUUAUUAAUGUAAUUUUUUAUUUUU